UACGUAGGGACCAAGCGUUGUUCGGAUUUACUGGGCGUAAAGGGCGCGUAGGCGGCAAUUCAAGUCAUCUGUGAAAUCUCCGGGCUUAACUCGGAAUGGUCAGGUGAUACUGCUUUGCUAGAGUGCAGAAGGGGCAAUCGGAAUUCUUGGUGUAGCGGUGAAAUGCGUAGAUAUCAAGAGGAACACCUGAGGUGAAGACGGGUUGCUGGGCUGACACGUGACGCUGGAGGCGCGAAAGCUAGGGGAGGCAAA
rnacentral:rRNA from 1 species